rnacentral:rRNA from 1 species
UCUUAUCCCACUGUCCUUCUCCACACCACACCGCCCACUCUCAGCCACACACGCCACUCCACUGCAUCCCCCUCUCCUCGACACGGGUCUCGUGGGGAAGUGCGCCGGCGACGAGGCGGGAUGCGCUGUCCAUGAGGCAGGCGGCGGCGGCCAGCAGAGACGAGGAGUGGAGGCCUCAAAUAACAAGCGGCGGUCGAUUUGGGGGGCGGAGCGGCGGACGAUUUGGGAGAGGAGAUCACCGGUGGCGUCCCCAUGGGUGUACUAGGAUCUGGCCUUCGUCGCCUGCUUCCAUAUGUGACGCCGCAGGCGCGGGGCUUGGGCCAGAGCACUGUUGCUCGGGGAGGAGCUGCAGCAGGAGCUGGCCAUGGACGGGAGCUUCGUUCAGAACCUCACGGCGGUUGUAGAAGGGGGUGUGGGGCGUGGGGGUCAACGACAGCAGGGCCACCAACCACCGGAGCUCUUCAUGGAUGGGUGUGUGUGUGUCCUGCAUGGUCAGUACUUCGCCCGCCGUGUUGCUCGUCCCGUCCGACGGCUCUGGAUCUGUACUCGAAGCAGGCGAAGAUCUCUGAACUCCAAGCAGACGCCCAGGUGCCCAGGUGAACUUCAAGCAGUCGACUAGGCUGCUGGCUCUGAACUCCAAGCUAGGAGAAGAGCAUGCUGAUCCCAUUUUCACUGGGAGUUCAAGGUGAUAUUCUGGCUAUUCCCCUGUGUCGCACCUGCUACGCCCGGCCAUGCACGGCUAGUGCUGCUAUGUGAGCAUAAUUGUCACUUGUUUGCUUACCAUGUAGAGGUCAAAUGGCUAACCAAGUAGAUGUUAUGUGCACAUGGUAAGAUAACAAUAUACAUGCAAUCCAUAUUUCAUGUGUUGCCAUGGCAAUUUAAUUUCACACAUCAUGGCAAAUAAUUCAUAAAUAGCAUGGAAAUUCCGUCAUAGAAUUAGAAUAAUUAUUGCCAUGCUCAAAGUUUGUACCAUGUACAAGUGGCCAUGCUGAUUUCUGGACAGAUAAAACAGUCAAAUGUUUUAGAUAAAAAUUUGCCAUGCUAUUUUACAGAACACACAAACAUUUGCAGCCUUCGUAUAUAACUGAAUAUUAUUACAGUUAAGUUCUCAUUUGGAGCUAUCACAACAUUUUUUGUCUCCAAUAGUGUGUCUCAAGUAGGUGUUUAGGGGGUGUUCAACCUCACGAAUCGUGCCUUUUCUGCAUGGUUGGUUUUGUGUCUCUAGGAUGUCAAAUUUAAGGUGUGUCAUUUUUGUGGUUGAUCGUGCUGCGAGUGUGGUGUUGGUAGGUCUACGUUCCACGUUGUUGGUCGUCUUUGGGGUGGUGCAGGUGCUGCCGUUGCUCCACGAGUAGCUCGAUGUGAGUCUAAUUUUCCCCUAGAAUGUUGCCAUAUCUCCCAUUUUGUUCGCCACAGCAAAAUUGCCAUGUUUUUAGUUUAAAAACAUCUUGUAUAGUUUUUUUUUUCAUAUCUCAACAUGUCCAAUGUAGCAUCUUUUUUACAUGUCUCCACAUUUUUACACUUUGCC